rnacentral:rRNA from 1 species
CUAAUCCUGGUCGGACAUCAGGAGGUUAGUGCAAUGGCAUAAGCCAGCUUGACUGCGAGCGUGACGGCGCGAGCAGGUGCGAAAGCAGGUCAUAGUGAUCCGGUGGUUCUGAAUGGAAGGGCCAUCGCUCAACGGAUAAAAGGUACUCCGGGGAUAACAGGCUGAUACCGCCCAAGAGUUCAUAUCGACGGCGGUGUUUGGCACCUCGAUGUCGGCUCAUCACAUCCUGGGGCUGAAGUAGGUCCCAAGGGUAUGGCUGUUCGCCAUUUAAAGUGGUACGCGAGCUGGGUUUAGAACGUCGUGAGACAGUUCGGUCCCUAUCUGCCGUGGGCGCUGGAGAACUGAGGGGGGCUGCUCCUAGUACGAGAGGACCGGAGUGGACGCAUCACUGGUGUUCGGGUUGUCAUGCCAAUGGCACUGCCCGGUAGCUAAAUGCGGAAGAGAUAAGUGCUGAAAGCAUCUAAGCACGAAACUUGCCCCGAGAUGAGUUCUCCCUGACCCUUUAAGGGUCCUGAAGGAACGUUGAAGACGACGACGUUGAUAGGCCGGGUGUGUAAGCGCAGCGAUGCGUUGAGCUAACCGGUACUAAUGAACCGUGAGGCUUAACCUUACAACGCCGAAGGUGUUU